CCUCUUUAAGAGUCAAAAGGCGGCCUCAGAUCUUCAUGCUAAUGAAACCUCACAGUUUGUUCUAUCUGGGCCUCAUCUGCACAGCAACCAGAAGCUUCCAUGGCCCAGCAGUUUCAACCAAAUAGUUCAGGAGCCAGUAUUCACCCGUUGCAAUGUGAACGAGGGAAUCCAGGCCCUGCUCAGCAAGGACACCGUGGCUCUGCAAUGAUCUGUAGGAUUUGUGCUGCAGAAUAGUAGGUGGAAAAGUGUGCCUACAUUUAAAAAUUAUUACCCCUCCAUUGAUACUGAUUUUCAUUUGGAGGUCAUAAUAUACAAAGAGAUUAAGGUUGUGUUUGUUGGUUUUCCAGAUUCUUGCUGGAUUCAAGAAAUAACAGGCUGGUUCUUGUCACCAUCUUCAUAGGAUACAGAAAGGGGUGAGAAAUCCUGCCUCAGACCCCACACCGCUGUUCUAGCUGAAGUCUCCAACUUCUCUUUAAACAUCAGGAAGCCUUUCGUACACACUUUUGUGACAAACUGAAAAUUAGUUGUUGAUUGUUAAUAUUUAUUCUCUGUUUUCACAUUAGAUUAAAAUACAGAACAUACUCUUUCAUCCCACCCCCCAAAAUACCUGGUUACUUGAUUCUCAGUUAUUUGAAGUCCAGAUAAUAACUGACUCUAGUCUAUUUAUGUAACUAUUGUUAUCAUCUAAGUAUUAAAUAUUCUUAGCUUACAGAGUGUCUUUAAAUCUGUUUCAUC
rnacentral:lncRNA from 1 species